GUUGGAUAGCAGCCUGGGCAACAUAGGGAGAUCCCUGUCUCAGAAAAAGAAGGAAAGAAGGGAUGGCAAUAUGCCCAGUUAAAAACUACAUUCCCAGCCUCUGUUGCAGCUAGAUAAUGACCAUGUGAAUAAGUUCUAGCCAAAAAGCUAUAAGCAGAGGUGUCAUUUCGGAAGCCUUCCUCAAGGAACAGAAUACAUGCUUAGCCCUCUUCAUCCUCUGCUGGCUGAAUGAGAAUAAGACGUCCGAAACCCAGGCAGCCAUAUGGGACUAUGAGGUAAGGUGCCAAGAGUGCUGGUGCGGCAAGACAGAGGGAUCAUGGGUCCCCAGCACAAGGAGCCACUUUCCCAGUCCUGGGCCAUCCUUCCCUUGGGCUUCUUUGGCAUAAGAGAAAAAUCACUUCUAACUUGCUAAACAACUAUUAUUUUUGUUUUCCUGUCCCAUGUAAUCAAACCUAAUCCUAACUGAGAAAGCAAUGAUCUGCUUUAUGCAAGACCCUGUGCUAGAUGCUACAGGGGAUGCCAAAGAAUAUGGGCUUUAGAUAGACAGACACUUGGGCAAGAACAUUCUGUCUAGGGGUGAAAGAAGUGCCCAGAAGAGUUUGGUGUGGCAGAACCAUGUGGGCAUGAAGAGGACUCAUGGUAAAUGUGGUGAGGGAGUAUGAUGGAAGGUUCUUAAAAGCCAGGCUAAUGAGGCUGGAGUUCAUCCUGUGACAGACAGAGCAGAUGACCUUGUUCCAGUGUACAAAUGGAGAAGCCCAGGCCUCAACAGGUUCAAGGACUUGUCAGGGUCACCCAGCCAGGGAGUGGCAGAGCCCAUCUCAAUUCUCCUAACAAUUGGUCCAGUGCUCUCCUUCAAUUCUGUGCUCUUUGAGAGAAUCUGGGGCAGACGGAGUAAGAAUAGAGGUUUCACACUUUGACCCACCCCCAUCACACCCCAGCAUGUUCAAAAGGGGGUUUUGGGGGUUGCCAGAAGUCUAGGAUCUGGACCUAACUUUAACUCAGAGCUUCCUCCUGGGCCUCCCGUGUAGCUCCCCCUCACAAGGCCAUCAUAGCCAGGGUGCUAUCCCACUAUGUAAUAAGUACCAAUAAGUCUAUCACAAUGCUCGGUGCUUUAGGUACAUGAUCUAAUUUACUGCCCUCAACAGCCUAAAAUAUUUUUUAAAAACAUUUUACAGGUGAAGAUGAUGAAACUGAAGAUCUAAGAAAUGAAGCCAUCUACUCAAAGCCACUCAGUUGAUAGCAAAGUGGAGAUAUAAAGCCAUGUUUGUUCAACUUCAAAGGAAUCUCAUGAAAAUCUUGUCUUCAUAUUAUAUAGCAAGGCUUUGGGCUUAGGUAUCCUUCUAGGACAAAUAAGCAGUUAAUGAGCAUGAAAGGCCUUUGAACCCUAUGUAGCCCUGCAUGUAUGCAAGCUGCUCUUUUAGGUGGAUCCUCCCAGGGUGGCUCUUCAAUGAAUGUCUACUGAAUUGCACAUGAACAGAGUAGAUAGACAGCACUAGGGACUCAUCCUCUGGCCCCAGAGGCCCACGAAAGAGUGUCCAGGCAGGCUGGACUAUGCUGGGAAGGGGGAAGGCCUGGACCCUCAUUGAGUGGAAAGGAACCCAGAAGGAAGGAAAACCCAUCAACAUCCUGUGAACUAAAUGGACAGAAAUUCUGUUUAGGAAGAAAACCACGAUAAAUAAAAUUCCUGAGACCAACUGCUAAGUCAGGGAGCACCACACACAUCCUCUUCUGCAAGAGUAUGAGAAGAUGGAGCCACAGCUCCCAUCCCAUAUCUGCAUCUGGCGUGGCCUUCCCACAACAGGCCAUGGUCAGACCUGGCUCCACAGGCAAAGGGGCUGCUUAGGCCAGACUUGAAAUAGGCUGAGUGGAAACCUGCAAGCCCCUUCUGCCUCCCUGUGCAUGGAAAGGAGUUGUCAGUGAGUUUGGAGAUCUCUGCCCUUGUCAGAGGAAGGUGACCUAAUCACAAGGCAGGGCAGGUGUCUGUGGCUGAGAGCUGAGCAAAGAACAAGCAGCCAGUAGAGGCUUUUAUCUGAACUGUGCAGCCCUUACCUGACUGGGAAGCACAAGUGAUAAUUAGUAGCGAGUUACUUUA